CUACGGGACGCUCCAGUGGGGAAUAUUGCACAAUGGGCGCAAGCCUGAUGCAGCCAUGCCGCGUGUAUGAAGAAGGCCUUCGGGUUGUAAAGUACUUUCAGCGGGGAGGAAGGGAGUAAAGUUAAUACCUUUGCUCAUUGACGUUACCCGCAGAAGAAGCACCGGCUAAGUCCCUGCCAGCAGCCGCGGUAAUACGGAGGGUGCAAGCGUUAAUCGGAAUUACUGGGCGUAAAGCGCACGCAGGCGGUUUGUUAAGUCAGAUGUGAAAUCCCCGGGCUCAACCUGGGAACUGCAUCUGAUACUGGCAAGCUUGAGUCUCGUAGAGGGGGGUAGAAUUCCAGGUGUAGCGGUGAAAUGCGUAGAGAUCUGGAGGAAUACCGGUGGCGAAGGCGGCCCCCUGGACGAAGACUGACGCUCAGGUGCGAAAGCGUGGGGAGCAAACAGGAUUAGAUACCCGGGUAGUC
rnacentral:rRNA from 1 species